rnacentral:rRNA from 1 species
UAAGGAAUAUUGGUCAAUGGAGGGAACUCUGAGCCAGCCAUGCCGCGUGCAGGAUGACUGCCCUAUGGGUUGUAAACUGCUUUUGUCCAGGAAUAACUACCACUACGUGUAGUGGCUUGAAUGUACUGGAAGAAUAAGGAUCGGCUAACUCCGUGCCAACAGCCGCGGUAAUACGGAGGAUCCGAGCGUUAUCCGGAUUUAUUGGGUUUAAAGGGUGCGUAGGCGGCUCAUUAAGUCAGGGGUGAAAGACGGCAGCUCAACUGUCGCAGUGCCUUUGAUACUGAUGAGCUUGAAUGUGGUUGAAGAUGGCGGAAUGAGACAAGUAGCGGUGAAAUGCAUAGAUAUGUCUCAGAAUUCCGAUUGCGAAGGCAGCUGUCUAAGUCAUUAUUGACGCUGAUGCACGAAAGCGUGGGGAUCGAACAGGAUUAGAUACCCUGGUAGUCCACGCCCUAAACGAUGAUAACUCGAUGUUGGCGAUACACAGUCAGCGUCUUAGCGAAAGCGUUAAGUUAUCCACCUGGGGAGUACGCCCGCAAGGGUG